rnacentral:rRNA from 1 species
AUGAUAAAAUGGGCGGAUAUCUGCAUGCCUAAGGACCGUGGUGGUCUGGGCAUCAUUGCCUCCCGCAGCAUGAACGUGGCCCUCAUGCUAAGAUGGGUCUGGCGGAUUCUACGCGGCGAGGGAGGGUUAUGGCUGCAGCUCAUUCAGGCAAAAUACCUUAGGGGAGAACCGCUCUUGGCUUGCUCCCGGACAGAUGGCUCA